AUACGGAGGAUCCGAGCGUUAUCCGGAUUUAUUGGGUUUAAAGGGAGCGUAGGUGGACAGUUAAGUCAGUUGUGAAAGUUUGCGGCUCAACCCCAUUCUGCCGUUGAUACUGGGUGGCUUGAUUGCGGUCGAGGUUGGCGGAAUUCGUUGUGUAGCGGUGAAAUGCAUAGAUAUGACGAAGAACACCGAUUGCGUAGGCAGCUGACCAGAUCGCAAAUGACGCUCAUGCACGAAAGUGCGGGGAUCGAACAGGAUUAGAUACCCUGGUAGUCCGCACAGUAAACGAUGAAUACUUGUUUUCGGCGAUAUAAUGUCGGAGGCAAAGCGAAAGCGAUAAGUAUUCCACCUGGGGAGUACGCCGGCAACGGUGAAACUCAAAUGAAUUGACGGGG
rnacentral:rRNA from 1 species